UAGGGAAUCUUCCGCAAUGCACGUAAAGUCUGACGGAGCAAACGCCGCGUGAGUGAUGAAGGCUUUCGGUCUGUAAAAUCUCUGUUGCUCUAGGGAAGAACAAGUACGAGAGUAAGCUGGCUCGUACCUGGACGGUACCUGAACCAGUAAAGCACACGGCUAACUACGUGCCACGCAGCCACGCGGUAAUACAGUAGAUGGCCAAGCGUUAUCCGGAAUUAUUGGGCNUAAAGCGCGCGCAGUCGGUUUCUUAAGUCUGAUGUGAAAGCCCACGGCUUCAACCGUGGAGGGUCAUUGGAAACUGGGGAACUUUGAGUGCAGAAGAGACAAAGCGGAAUUCCAGCAGUGUACCGGUGAAAUGCGUUAGAGAUGUGGAGGAACACCAGUGGCGAAGCGGCUUUUUGGUCUGUCAACUGACGCUGAGGCGCGAAAGCGUGGGGAGCAAACAGGAUUAGAUACCCCUGGUAGUCCACGCCGUAAACGAUGAGUGCUAAGUGUUAGAGGGAUUUCCGCCCGUUUAGUGCUGCAGCUAACGCAUUAAGCACUC
rnacentral:rRNA from 1 species